UUUUCCAUGAACUUUUUGAAGACCACUCCUGCAAUAAUAAAACAUUGAACUUCAUUUAAAGCUAAAAUUCCCUUCUCUUCCACUUCUGACUAUGAGGCAGCAACUGCUAUCAGACCAAACCUUUCCCAAGAACUAUCAAGGCCAUAUAAAAUAUAUUUUUAAAAAGAGCUUUUUGCAUCCUGGCUAAAACAGUGAAACCCCGUCUCUACUAAAAAUACAAAAAAUUAGCUGGGUGUGGUGGUGGGCGUCUGUAGUCCCAGCUACUCUGGAGGCUGAGGCAGGAGAAUGGCGUGAACCUGGGAGGCAGAGGUUGCAGUAAGCCGAGAUCGUGCCACUGCACUCCAGCCUGGGCGACAGAGCAAGACUCUGUCUCAAAAAAAAAAAAAAAAAAAAAAAAACUUUUUGAAGACAUCAGAGAGUAAGACAGCCAGGAUUUGAAGAAACAAAAUCCUAGUAAGAUGAGACUUGCAUAAAGGUGAGUCCUGUGUUCACAACAUUUUUUCCUGUUGGGCCAUUUGCUGGUGUCCUGCCCUAAGGCCUGACAGAAGGUGGCAACCAGAGCUGGCGUGGUGUCACUGGGCUGGGAGACCGGCAGCAACACACAAGCUGUCAUGUUGGCCAGGAUGCCAGGAGCCUCAGAGAAGUGGCCGAAUUCCCAGUGUGCAGCUUCCCCUGCAGCAGGUGCCUAUUCCUGGUUGCUGCUUGUGCUUGAGGCAAGAGGCUUGGAAACCCAAAUAUAGCAGCAAAAGGCUGGAAAGCUGAGACAUCUUUGGGCAAGGGAGACAAAACUUGGGACUUCAGUGCCUGCCAUUGAGAAAACUCUGAGGUUUCCAGGUGAGUCCCCUGAAGGGCAAACUGGAGAGGGACCAACCCUCACCAAGUCUGGACAUGGCUUGAGCCAUCUCAGCCUUGAUUGCAUCAGGGCGAUCUGCCUCACCUUUCUGCUAGAGGAAAACUAAAUUUUCUUUCAAUGAAAACAUCAGAGCUCCUAUAACUUUACAGAUAAACAGUUUGACUCUCAUAAAAAAAUUAUGAGACACACUGAAAAAAAGGACUAAGUGACUGAAAAGAGAAUCAUAAGACAAUAGAAAUAGUCUCACAGGUGAUCCAAAUACUGGAGUUUUCAGACACGGACUUUAUGAUUUAUACAUUCAAUAAUAUGGAUGAGAAGGUGGAGAAUGCCACCAGAGAGAAUCUGUAAACGUGCUAAUGCUGAAAAACACAACGAUGAAUGAAGAAUUCCCUAGAUGUAGUUAGUACCAAAUUAGGCUUAUAGAUGAAAGGAUUACUGAAUUGGAAGACAAGCCAGUAGAAAACAUUCAUCUUGAAGUACAGAGAGAUGAAAAGUGCCUGAGAGACACAGCGCAAGAGAAAAGACUAGCACACAGCUGACGGGAGUCCCAGAAGAGGAGAGAGAAGGGGUGGAGCGCCAUUUGGAUGAGAUCACAGCUGAGGACUUUCCAGAACUGUUGGGACAUCAGCCAUAGGUGUCAAUAUCUUUGAACCCCAAUGAGGAUAAAUUGAAAAUAACAACCUGCACCUAGGCACAUCAUGGCAAAGUGCUGAAACCCAAAGAGAAAGAGACAACCUUAAGCAGAGGGAGGGAGGAGAGACACUUUUACCUUCAGAGGAGCAAUAAAGCUGGCAGCUGACUCUCUAAAACAAAUAGUUGGAAUGGUGGAGUGGCUUUUUUUAAAUGCUGAAAGGAAAUAAUUACCAAUCUAGAUUUAUAUACCCAGUGAGAAGAUUCCUCAAAAGUGAGGAUGAACUUAAGUUUUUGGACAAAACAAAAAAUUGCAGAAACUUGUCACCAGCCAACCAGCCCUAAAAUAUAUCCUGGAGGGAAUUCUCCAGGUGGACACUUGAUGUGGGAAGGAACAAGGAAUACUCCUGAAAGGAGCAGAAACGGGAAAGCUAAAUAAAUAAUAGACUGCCUAAAACUAUCUCUUAGAGUUCAAAAUACAGGUAGACUUAAGAUACAUGGACAGUAAGGACAAAAGGUGGGAGGGAAAUAAAGGAUUGCACCAUCCUGCAAGGGGUGAAAGUAUGGAUUUCAAGUAGAUUCUGGGCCAGGUGCAGUGGCUCACACCUGUAAUCCCAGCACUUUGGGAGGCCAAGGCAGGCGGAUCACCUGAGGUCAGGAAUUUGAGACCAGCCUGGCCAACAUGAUGAAACCCCGUCUUUACUGAAAAAACAAAAAAUUAACUGGGCCUGGUGACGCAUGCCUGUAAUCCCAGCUACUCGGGAGGUUGAGGCACGAGAAUUGCUUGAACCCAGGAGGCGGAGGUUGCAGUGAGCCGAGAUGGCACCACUGCAUUCUAGCCUGGGCGACAGAGCAAGACUUCAUCUCAAAAAAAAUAAUAAAGUAGAUUCUGACAUCAGACGUGAUCUCUAGGGUAACCGCUAAAAGCAAUAAACAUGUUGAUGAAACUGGACUAAUACCUACUUUCACUAAUCCCAAAGAAGGUAAGAAAGGAAAAAUAACCAGAUGGGACACAUAGGAAACAGAGGCAAAUGGUAGCUUUAAACCAAAUGUGUCAGCAAGCAUAUUAAAUGUAAGUGGAAUGCAAACUCCAAUUAAGUGUGUUAGAUUGGAUAGACAAAACCCAGCUAUGUUCAUUCACAGGCUUCACAUAUCGAGUCCAAGGAUGCAGAGUGAAUGCGAGAGGCCAGAAGCCAGGGCACCACCCACACAUCUGCUACAGCUGUUCACAUCUGACAGCACGGCCUCAGGCAGGAGGACUCAUUAGAGAUGGAGGGACAGCUCAGUGACCAAGUGGUGAGGUUAAUGGGAUGACACAACAAUGCUAAACAUAAAAGCACCAAAGAACACAACUCCAAAAUGUGACUGGAACAGAAAGAACUAAGAGGAGAAAUAGACAAUCACAGUGAGAGAUCUGAACACUUGCCUCAGCAGCAAAUAAAGGCUCUGUGGCUGUAUUCAGUAUUUUAUCACCAUAAAAAUUCUCAUUGGAGCUUCUGAGUUGAGAGGCAGAGGCAUUUGCAGGGGUAAGUCUUCCCAUCCUCCUGCUCUAACAUCCACUCGCUUCAUUCUAGUCGUUUCUCGUUAGGGUCCUUUGUAGGGAUUUUGUAAUUUUGGUUGGAUUUGUGACAGGGAAUUUUAUUCUGCUUCAUUUUAAAAGUGGGCCAGUCAAAAAAAAAAACAAUUCCUCAAUGCUCCACCUACUCAUCCUAUCCUCCCUGCCAGCCCCGGUCUUUUUUGUCUCCAUAAUUUUUCCUUUUCUAAAAUAUCAAAUAGUUGGACUCAUACAGUAUGUAGCCUUUUCAGACUGGCUUCAUUCACUAAUAUGCAUUUAAGAUUCCCUCAUGUCUUUCUAUGGGCUAGUCAUUCACUUAUUUUUAGCACUGAAUAACAGACAUGCCACAGUUUAUCCAUUCACCUACUGAAGGGCAUCUUGGUUGUUUUCAAGGUUUGGCAAUUAUGAAUACACCUGCUAUGAAUAUCCUUGUACGAGCUUUUGUGUGGACGUAAGUUUUCAACUCCCUUGAGUAGAUACUGAGGAGCUUGAUUGCUGGAUCACAGGGUAAGAGUAUGCUUAGUUCUGUACGAAGCUGCCAAACUGUCUUCCAAAGCAGCUACACUGGUUUGCAUUCACGCCAGCAAUGAAUGAGUUCCUGUUGCUCCACAUCCGCACCAGCACUUGGCAUUAUCCAUUUUGGAUUUUGGCCAUCCUAACAAGUGCGUAGUGGUGUCUCAUUUUUGUUUUAAUUUGCAAUUCCCUAAUGACCAUAUAAUGAGGAGCAUUUUUGUAUAUGCUCAAUUGCCAUCUGCGUAUCUUCUUUGGUGAGGGGUCUAUUCAGAUCUUUUGCCCAUGUUUUCUUUUUUUUUUUUU
rnacentral:lncRNA from 1 species